UCUUUUUUCAUUACAGUGUUAAGGAAAUAAUGUGAAAAGGCUAAUUUCAACUCAAAUUAUUAAUAAUCUUGAUGUUCAUUGUUUAGUUUAAAAUUAAGGAAACGUUUCUAAUCGACAAUCAUUAAACAUCAACUUUUGUUUUAUCCUUGCUCUGUCUUUGGACUUUAGUUGAAGAUGUCACUGCAUACAGUUCCCCUCUGUAAUGGCGAUGCCACUUGUCUCAUAAGUAGGUUGAAAAAUGGACCCCUGGGACGCAAUCCAGGGCCACACAGACAGGGGCCAUGCAGAGUAAUUAAAGUGUCCGCAUCCAGACAGCAGAUCUGUUGGUGUGAGAAAACAUAGCACAGUAUGUAUUUGCUGUGUCUGGGCCUGCAUGGUGACCGUGGGGUGGGCAGAGACUGAUCACUUCUCUCCAUGGCAGUAAGUCAGGCCGUUAAUGUCUAAUUGGCACCUAAUGAGGGACUGCGGUCUGACAGCCUCUGAGAUCCGCUCUCAUUACCUCUUCAGAGCCCUCAACAACUCUGACUGUGUUCAUCCGAGCACCACGGUUCAUCUUUAAACUCUUUAAACCAUCAGGCAGAAGCUGAAGCUGUGCUGGGUUUCUCAUCUAGCUGUUUUCUUAACUCCGCUGUGUGCGCACGCUAAUGUGCCUCCCGCACAAGUUCAUCUGCAUAAGAUGAUACAGUAGCGCCUCAGGAUAUGAACAGAUGGGAGUGUUUAGCAAACUCACAGCCCACCUUCUCCCCCCGCCGCAGUGUGGCGCCCCCCACGGGUGGCUCUGUUAACCUGUCACUUGUCAUCACUGGAGAUCCAGGCACCAUAUGCCCAAAGCUCCAGAACCUCACCAGACAUGAAAGCGGAUACGGAGAGGAGCAGGGGAGCUUCUUUUCUGUGGCGUCUGUUGUCGCGAUCAAAGACCUGUCAGUUUGCUCUGCAUAAUGUGGAAAACUGUUCUGAUCAUGCCACGUCUGCUUCUUAGAUUGAUCUCUGGGAGAUGUUACUAGCUCAUUGAUCCAUCGCAGACACCUGUGAGAAACUCCUGUUGACUAGUUCAGAUCUAAGAGGUAUAAAUCGUGUGUCUCAUCAGUGUUUGUGAGUAGACAAACAGGAUAAAUGGCACCCUGAGCUCAGCUUCAUUUAUUUAUUUUACUAUUAUC